CUGAGCUCCAUUGUUACCCCCACAAAUGUAUAUCUAGGAAAGAUGGUUCACAAGUGAUGUGUGUUAUGCUGUAUAUGAUUGGAGAUGGAGAUCUAGAAAGCGUAAAUGUACAUUUAGCUAAUGCAUGUUUAAUCCAUCCAUCUUCCAUAAAAGUUUAUUCGGUACAGGGUGGUGGUGAACCUGGAACCUACCACAGGAAGCACAUGGGCAAAGAGAGGGAGAGGGAGAGAGAGGGGGACAGAAGGACGAAAACGGAGAAGAAGGGAAAUAGAGAGAGAGCGAGGGAAAAGAGAAAAAAAAAGAAGAAAGAAAACCACAGAUAAUCUGCUUCAAUACCUGCUGAUGAGAGAAAACAACAACCAACAUCUGUACGAGUCACAAUGAGCAUGUUAAGGAGCAACAGCCAAACAAGACAGUGUGUGUCUUAGUGUGUGUGGGGAGCCACAGCCCCAUCCCUCAGGACAUGAAGCAGACACGGAGGAGGCCCGGACCCCAGACAGCCAGAGGCCCCCCAGGGCAUGGGAGCCCCCGGAGGACCACCGCAGGGAGAAUAGCAGCCCCUCACCCAGAAAAGGGCAGAGGAGAGCUCCGGAGGGAGGCCAUCCGGCAGCCACAGUGCAGGAGCCCCAGGGGGCCGUGGCGGCGAGCCCGCAGGCUCCACCGGCGGCCAGCCCCACCAGGGCAGACCAGGCCCUGGGCCCAGAGA